GACGAACGCUGGCGGCGUGCUUAACACAUGCAAGUCGAACGGAAAGGCCCUGCUUUUGUGGGGUGCUCGAGUGGCGAACGGGUGAGUAACACGUGAGUAACCUGCCCUUGUCUGUGGGAUAACUUCAGGAAACUGGGGCUAAUACCGGAUAGGAGCUCCUGCUGCAUGGGGGGGGUUGGAAAGUUUCGGCGGUUGGGGAUGGACUCGCGGCUUAUCAGCUUGUUGGUGGGGUAGUGGCUUACCAAGGCUUUGACGGGUAGCCGGCCUGAGAGGGUGACCGGCCACAUUGGGCCUGAGAUACGGCCCAGACUCCUACGUGAGGCAGCAGUGGGGAAUAUUGCGCAAUGGGCGGAAGCCUGAUGCAGCAACGCCGCGUGCGGGAUGCCGGCCUACGGGUUGUAAACCGCUUUCGCCUGUGACGAAGCGUGAGUGACGGUACUGGGUAAAGAAGCACCGGCUAACUACGUG
rnacentral:rRNA from 1 species